UUGGAAAGGAGGGAAUAGAUAGCACUCAGAGCCUGCUGGAUACAGACAUCAGUGAAGCCCCAGAGGAUGGUGGAACCACAGAUGGAAGGAGCCUGGGCAUCAUGACGCCGAGAGCUGCCCUGCUGACCUGAACAUGUGCCUGGAACUGUUAAGUCUGUACCACAUGAAGAAGAAAACCAUCACCGAGGCAUCUGCCUCCCACCACCCGACAGCAACGCGAAGGUCUCACUGAAGUGGAAACUCGCCGCGGAGCCUGUUCAAUCGAGAGGAGGAAGGAAGGAAAAGCGAAGGAAAAGGGCUAAUCUCCG